UGGGGAAUAUUGGACAAUGGGCGCAAGCCUGAUCCAGCCAUGCCGCGUGGGUGAUGAAGGCCUUAGGGUUGUAAAGCCCUUUCGGCGGGGAAGAUAAUGACGGUACCCGCAGAAGAAGCCCCGGCUAACUUCGUGCCAGCAGCCGCGGUAAUACGAAGGGGGCUAGCGUUGCUCGGAAUUACUGGGCGUAAAGCGCACGUAGGCGGCUUGUUAAGUCGGGGGUGAAAUCCCGGAGCUCAACUCCGGAACUGCCUUCGAUACUGGCAAGCUCGAGUCCGGGAGAGGUGAGUGGAACUGCGAGUGUAGAGGUGAAAUUCGUAGAUAUUCGCAAGAACACCAGUGGCGAAGGCGGCUCACUGGCCCGGUACUGACGCUGAGGUGCGAAAGCGUGGGAGCAAACA
rnacentral:rRNA from 1 species